UUCGCCUUCAUGAAGCCGGAAUUGCUAGUAAUGGCAGGUCAGCAUACUGCCGUGAAUACGUUCCCGGGCCUUGUACACACCGCCCGUCACACCAUGAGAGUUGGGAAUACCCGAAGCCUGUGAGCUAACUAAUAGAGGCAGCAGUCGAAGGUAGAAUCAAUGAUUGGGGUGAAGUCGUAACAAGGUAAC
rnacentral:rRNA from 1 species